rnacentral:lncRNA from 1 species
CGUAUUUGUAGGAAAUGUCAGUUGAGGAUAAAUACAUAAACUAGAAAGUUCUAACCCAAUCAUCGAUUCACUCGACUGUAAAACUCUAACUAAUCUCGCUGUAAACCAUUGUCUCUAUCUCAAAAUCUCUGCCGAGAAAAGCCAAACAAACUUUAGCCACCAAGAAUUGAAAUUGACUUUUUUCUUUUUCUUGAAUCAAGUUGCACUCCCCUUUUAAAUAUAGUUUCCACGAAGAAGGGGACAGUCAAAAACAACUCAAAAGGCCAGGAAACAGUGGCCACGAGGAAGCUGCAAAUAAUUGUAAAGUAUAGUAUUCAACAACAAAGAUUUUGGGGUUAUUUUGCCUUUUUCAGCUUCAGAUUUAAUACAACGGAGAUCCAUUGAUUAGCCACUAAUUACUGCCCUUUUCAGCUUCAUCGAUUGUUUAGCCGUAAAGGGUCAGCCGGCUCUCUCUCUCUCUCCUAAAGCUGCUGCAAGAUUCAUCCUUUGAGACUUGAGUUGUUUGCUUUUCUUGUUUCUUGCUGGAAAGAUUUUGUGAGAAUCUUGGGCUUCUUAUUUGGGAACAUAUUUGAGGUAGUACAUAUAUAUGUUGCUACUUUGUUAAAAAUUUGAUCUUUGUGAAUAUUUGCAGCCAGCUUUUUGUAUGCUGUGGGGUGGGAGUUGUAGAUCCUUAUGAUUGUUGCAUAGUUUCCUGUAAUUUCAGGAUCCAUGCUGAAUUGGAUUUUGUAAUUUUUGGGUGAAAUUUUUGGGAUUGGAUAUUUUUGGGGGUAUUAUUGUCAUCAAAAUAACUUUAUUGAUUGGAAUGAGAGUAUUGGUGGUGGAGACUUGAUUGGUUGUUUGUAGCAUCAAAAACAGUGGUGGGAUUUGUGUGAUUUCUUUUAGGGUUUUUGUUUUGUUAUGAGAGAUUGCUCAACAAAAACGAUGAUGGAAGCAGAAGAGGACUUGAUUGCUGCGGCGCAGCUAAUCAUGAGAGCAUUGGAAUCAAACAUGACGCUGAGUGAUGAUGCUAGAAAAGUUUUGGCAAAUCUUGGCUCACAGUUGAGCAGCAUAGCUAGAGCUAGCGAGAGCCGGGAUGAGGAGUUCGAGGAGGAGGAGGAGGAAGAGGAAGAGGGGAUUAGUGAGAUCGAGCAGCAGCUCGAUAAGAUUCAAGAUAAGGUCAUGAGUUGGGAGAAUGAUCAGUCUACUAUGAUAUGGGAUUGUAGCAAUGAAGAAGCUUAUGAUUAUGUAAGAGCUGUUGAUGAAGCUCGAAGGUUGGUUGAGGUUUUGGAGAAGAGGAGCUCGAGUAAUAGUGGCAGUGACGACGAUGUUUCGCUGCGUAGGGCUCACGACAUUCUUCAGACAGCAAUGGCUAGACUGGAGGAGGAGUUCAAGCACUUGCUGGUGCAGAACAGGCAGCCCUUUGAGCCGGAGCACAUGUCGUUUCGUUCCACUGAGGACGAUCUGAUUGAGGCCGGCUCUGUGAUCUCGUCCGGGGAUGAUUCCCUCGAGGAUGUUAGGGAUAGCAUGGGCCGGCCCUCGGAGGACUACGCGGUGGAGCUGGUGAAUCAGGAUGUGGUGCAAGACUUGAAGAGCAUUGCUGGUUUGAUGUUCGACUCCGGUUAUGGGAGGGAAUGCUCUCAAGUGUUUGUGAAUGUGCAGAAGGAUGCCCUAGAUGACUGCCUCUUCAUUCUUGAAGUGGAGAAGCUGAGCAUUGAGGAUGUGCUGAGGAUGGAGUGGAACGCGUUGAACUCGAAGAUCCGACGGUGGAUUCGCGUGAUGAAGGUGUUCGUGCGCGUCUACCUCGCCAGCGAGAAGCUGCUCACGGACCAGAUAUUCGGGUCCGUGAGCUCUGUCUGCUUCGCGGACUCGUCAAAGUCCGCGAUGCUGCAGCUUCUCAACUUCGGCGAGGCCAUAUCCAUCGGGCCGCACCAGCCGGAGAAGCUGAUCCGGAUCCUCGACAUGUACGAGGUGCUCGCGGAUCUCACGCCGGACAUAAUGGCCCUGUACUCGGACGAGGCAGGGGGGUCCUGCGUUAGGGCCGAGUGCCGGGACGUGCUGGAGAGGCUGGGGGAGUGCGCGAAGACGACCUUCGUCGAGUUUGAGAACGCCGUGGCGUCCAACGUGUCGAGCAACGCCUUCCCCGGCGGCGGGGUCCACCCCCUCACGAGAUACGUGAUGAACUACAUCAAGGCCCUGAUGGACUACAGGGGAACCCUAGACAAUGUGUUGAGGGAGAGGGGGGACGAUGAUCCGGCUCCGGCCCCGGCCUCCCCCGACACCAGUCCAUCCGGUGAGGAGGAGGAUGGAGCCUCGUGCGCCUCCUCCGCCAUGGCCGUGCAUUUCAGGUCGCUGAUCUCGAUUCUCGAAGCCAACCUCGACGGCAAGGCCAAGCUGUACAAGGAGGAGUCGCUCCAACACCUCUUCUUGAUGAACAACAUCCACUACAUGGCCGAGAAGGUGAAAGGAUCCGAUCUCCGCACCGUGCUGGGCGACGAUUGGAUCCGAAAACACAACUGGAAGUUCCAGCAGCACGCGAUGAACUACGAGAGGGCGACGUGGAGCUUGAUUCUCGCCCUGUUGAGGGAGGAGGGCUUCCAAAACCCGGGCGCCAACUCCGUGUCAUCGAGGACUCUCAAGGAGAGGCUGCAGAGCUUCUACGUCUCGUUCGAGGAGGUCUACAAGAGCCAGACGGGGUGGUCGAUCCCGGACCCUCAGCUCCGGGACGACCUCCGGAUCUCGACGUCCCUCAAGGUCAUCCAAGCUUACCGGACUUAUGUGGGAAGACAUAGCAAUCACAUCAGUGAGAAACACAUCAAAUACAGUGCUGAUGACUUGGAGGAUUACCUUAUGGAUCUCUUUGAAGGAUCACAAAAAUCUUUGCAUGGAAGCCAUAGGACAAGAUGAUGUAACAUAAUUUUUUCUUUUGCUUUUGAGUUUGGUGGAAUCCAUAUAUCUAAGAGUUUUGUGUCUCUCAUUUUACAAGAGAUGGAUUGUUUUGUUGUUACCUACUUUUUUGUGAUACGAGGUUGCAGUUUUGGAUAGUGGCUUUGAUUGAUUUUUCAGAAUUUUGUUCUGUAUUGAAUGUUUUGAGAUUCAUUUCUUGAGAGGUUUUUGAUGUUAUCACAAUUGCCAUUUUAUUUGUAUGUGUUGGUAUUGUAAAAUGAACUUCGCAGAAAAAUCUUAUGUUUGCAAUUGGAUUAUGCUCCGUCCAGAAAAAAUAGUCAAUUUUUUGACAUUUUGGACGUCCACAAAAAUUAGUCUAUUUUCACUUUUGGCAACUUUCUAUCAUAUGGUGGGCCUUAUCUCCACUCACAAUGCAUUUAAUUAUCAUUAUUAAUAUUACCUUUUUAGUGGGAUUUUUUUGGGUAAAUAUCAUGAAAACUCCUGAAUUAUACUCACUUUAUAAAAAAUACCCUGAAACUUUUGAAAUGUUAUCUAAACCCUCAAACUAUCAGGUUUUUAUCAAAUAUAUCCUGCAUCUAUUUUUCGGUUAUCAGAAACGUGAUGUGGCUCGCCGGAUGCCACAAUGUAAUUUAUAUUCUAUUUUUUUAAAUGACAUGGAAAAAAUGACUUCGUUACGUACCAUAUUCUAUCGUAUUUAUCCAUAAUUCUAGGUUAUUAGCGUGAAUUUCAAACACGAUAGCAGUGAAUUUUAAAUUUCAGAGUGGAUUUNNNNNNNNNNNNNNNNNNNNNNNNNNNNNNNNNNNNNNNNNNNNNNNNNNNNNNNNNNNNNNNNNNNNNNNNNNNNNNNNNNNNNNNNNNNNNNNNNNNNNNNNNNNNNNNNNNNNNNNNNNNNNNNNNNNNNNNNNNNNNNNNNNNNNNNNNNNNNNNNNNNNNNNNNNNNNNNNNNNNNNNNNNNNNNNNNNNNNNNNNNNNNNNNNNNNNNNNNNNNNNNNNNNNNNNNNNNNNNNNNNNNNNNNNNNNNNNNNNNNNNNNNNNNNNNNNNNNNNNNNNNNNNNNNNNNNNNNNNNNNNNNNNNNNNNNNNNNNNNNNNNNNNNNNNNNNNNNNNNNNNNNNNNNNNNNNNNNNNNNNNNNNNNNNNNNNNNNNNNNNNNNNNNNNNNNNNNNNNNNNNNNNNNNNNNNNNNNNNNNNNNNNNNNNNNNNNNNNNNNNNNNNNNNNNNNNNNNNNNNNNNNNNNNNNNNNNNNNNNNNNNNNNNNNNNNNNNNNNNNNNNNNNNNNNNNNNNNNNNNNNNNNNNNNNNNNNNNNNNNNNNNNNNNNNNNNNNNNNNNNNNNNNNNNNNNNNNNNNNNNNNNNNNNNNNNNNNNNNNNNNNNNNNNNNNNNNNNNNNNNNNNNNNNNNNNNNNNNNNNNNNNNNNNNNNNNNNNNNNNNNNNNNNNNNNNNNNNNNNNNNNNNNNNNNNNNNNNNNNNNNNNNNNNNNNNNNNNNNNNNNNNNNNNNNNNNNNNNNNNNNNNNNNNNNNNNNNNNNNNNNNNNNNNNNNNNNNNNNNNNNNNNNNNNNNNNNNNNNNNNNNNNNNNNNNNNNNNNNNNNNNNNNNNNNNNNNNNNNNNNNNNNNNNNNNNNNNNNNNNNNNNNNNNNNNNNNNNNNNNNNNNNNNNNNNNNNNNNNNNNNNNNNNNNNNNNNNNNNNNNNNNNNNNNNNNNNNNNNNNNNNNNNNNNNNNNNNNNNNNNNNNNNNNNNNNNNNNNNNNNNNNNNNNNNNNNNNNNNNNNNNNNNNNNNNNNNNNNNNNNNNNNNNNNNNNNNNNNNNNNNNNNNNNNNNNNNNNNNNNNNNNNNNNNNNNNNNNNNNNNNNNNNNNNNNNNNNNNNNNNNNNNNNNNNNNNNNNNNNNNNNNNNNNNNNNNNNNNNNNNNNNNNNNNNNNNNNNNNNNNNNNNNNNNNNNNNNNNNNNNNNNNNNNNNNNNNNNNNNNNNNNNNNNNNNNNNNNNNNNNNNNNCGGCUACUGCCGAUUUUAAAUUUUGUUUUUUAAUUUUCCUUUUUUUUUGGUUUGAAAAGGGGCGCGUGUAAACACGCCCCCUCCUUCGCUCCCACAAACGCCGAGUGCGAUCCAUCGCCCCCCCCCUUCACACCCGGGUGCAGCAACGGCGCUGGGUGCGAUAGGCCGGGUUCGAUCCGGCCUUCGCCCCCAGCGUCGGUGAUGCUCUUAGUGUGAUUAUUAUUUUGAUUUUGUAAAGUUCAUUCUCUUCUUUUAGUUCCUAUAUACUCCCAAAAAUUAUUAGUGCUGUGAAUUUAUUUAUUUUUGAGGCAUUUUCUAAAUUUGUUACUCCAAUUUUGUGUAUGAUUCCAUUAAAAUUCAGGCCACAAAAAUCAAAUGAAGCAAAUAUCUCUCUGUCCACACCGCCACCUAUCUAAAAAAAUAAAAAUCUCUACUGCAUUUCUUCAAAUGAGAUUUUUAAGGUUGAAAUCUCAUCGUACUUCAAUUCUCAACCAAAAAAAUAAAAAGAGAACACGAAAUUGGAUGCUUAUUUCAAAAUGCUACUCACUUCAUUAACUAUGAUCCACAAAUAAGAUUUUGUUAAUUAAUAAUGGUAUCGGAGUAUAUUUUCUUAACUGAAAAAUUAACAUUUACUUUGAAUAUAUACAUAUUUUUACAAAACUUUUUUUUCUAAACGAGAUAAACAUUUGAAAAAUUAAACUUUCAAGAGUCGAGAGCAUAUGUUGACUAAUCGAACGGCCAAAUCCAAACAGCAUAUUCUAUCGGUGUACACUCACCCACACACGAUUACCGCUCUCCAAGUCUAAAACCCUUGCGAUUUGCGAAGGCUCAGAAAUCCCAACACACUCGAAGCUGUUCUUCAUUUUUCUGUGUCUCUCUCCUGGUAAAACCCUAAACCCCCUUUUCAUGUUUUUUUUUCUUCUCAUUUUGCCGUCUUUUUAUGAUUCAUUGACGAUUUGCGUCUCGAUUCUUCGUUUCUUUUGCGGACGACGUUUUAGGGUUUACGGAUUUUGUAAGAUUUUUUUCUGAUCAUUAAAAAUUGGGAGUUUUGAAAAUUGCCAAUCUGGGGCUAUUUUUAUUGCAUUUCAUGUUUUACAUGUGUGGUAAAUUUAGGAUUUUGUAAGUGGAGUGCAUUUUUAUGCAAUUUUCUUUGCUAUGGCAGUGUGUGCAUGUAUUGUAGACUAGUUUUAAGAAUACUGUAUUUUUACGGUUAGUUUUGGAAUUUUUUUUGCAUCUUUUGGACAGUGAGUUAUAAACACAAUAAAACAAGACAUGCUUCUUGGUCUCUCCCUUUUUCUUCUUCUUUUUGUUCCUGAAAAAGAACCCAAAUCUAUUCUGUAUAAACUUGAAAUACAGUUUAAGUUGGAUAUUCAACUCUAGAUUGCCUGAGUAAGGAACCCAAUGACUAAUUUUCUAGUACUUGAGGAGAUUUAAUUUCAAUGUAUUUGGUAAGUCGAAGAAAAUGGUAUGAUUAUAUGAAAUUGUGAAGGUACUUUUGUUGAUUGACUCACUGUCCACUCUGUUAAUGAUGUCUUCUAUUAAAUCAUGCUGUUCCGCCAAUGCAGAGUAUAUAACAUUAACCCAAAAAAAAACAUAAGUUUUCUUUUGGUCACACUUCUUAGCGAAUAGCUAAAAAUGAGCAUAUAUUUCAUAUGUCCGCCAAUGCAGUGUUCUUUUGUUUACUUAUUCUUUUCUGUUCCUGUUCUUCCUUUUGUUAGGUUCAACCAUGGCAUUUCUGAACAGAGUGGGUAAUAUUCUAAAACAAACUGUCAGCAAGCAUGCUAGUUCACAAUUUCUGGCUCCGAAUGCCUCGAUUUUUCAGGCAAUGAGGAGCAUGUCGUCUUCUGCAAAGCUCUUUGUUGGAGGUACAAUAAUCGUAUUUUCUAUGAUGAACUUAUUUCAUGUCUUCUUUUACAAAAUAUCAUUAUAUCAUUGCAGGCCUCUCGUAUAGCACGGAUGAGGUGAGUUUGAGGGAAGCAUUUUCCCAGUAUGGAGAAGUGGUUGAAGGUACUGUCUUCCUAGUAAUCUUGAUUUACAUAUUCCUUUUACUUGGUAGAUUAUUAUGAAUAUUUUGUGAAAUUACUAAAUAAGAAGACUUGUGGUGGUGAUUAGUAUUGAUUAAAAAAAUGUCAAUAGAAUGUAACCUCAGUGCGAUAGACUCAUGUGUUUUUAUUGGAUGCAGAAGCUCUUACGGUGUGGCAUGAUAUCUUAGCAUUUUUUUUUUUUCCAAAAAUUCAACUUGUGUUAAUCCUUUUUGUUUACUAUUGCAGCUAGAGUUAUUUUGGACCGUGAGACUGGUAGAUCUCGAGGAUUCGGCUUUAUUACCUUCACUUCAACUGAGGCUGCGAGUAGUGCUAUCCAGGCAUUUGACGGCCAGGUACUUAGUUAUGUUUGAGUUUUUUUAACCUUUCACUAAGAUAUAUUGCAUUCUCAAUAAUUCUUAGUAGUUAUCUGCAUUGAAUUAAUGGUAACAUUUUUUUACUAGAAAGUUGAUAGCUAUAUUUAGUUUGAUGAAGAUUUUUACCUUCACAUUAUUUUUAGUAAGUGAUAUUUCUUAUAUCAGUUUUCUAGCUGCUACUCCUUAUAUACUAGUAAAGCACUCGUGUGGAUAUUGAGAAACAUUUCCGAAUAUCUUUUCAGUAAUUUUCUUUUUAAAAAAUUUUCUCUACCAUUUGGAAAACUUAGUCCAAGCAUAUCUGUAGUUUAGAGAAUCCAGUCUUCUGGAAAUAUUUACCACUUCUCACUUCACUAUAUACUAUUUAUUAUUUAUUUUGUUCAUGGGUCUUUUUUAUACAACAGUUAUUAAGUACAUGAUAUUUCUUACAUUUGUUUUAAAUGUAUAUUAUCAGCUUGUGUAAUUAGUUAUGUCUCAUAUCAUCUUUAAAUUUUUGAUGAAUUAAAACUAGCUUGGACUCGAAAGUCUCUUACUUAUUGAAUACAAAUUAUAGUUCUUUGAAAUCUUUGGUUAUUUUUCAGAUCUCGUGAUUAAUAUUAACCCUUUUAUAAUGAAAUGAUAUUUUUGUGACUGAUCAGGUUGGAAAAGUGUUAUAGAUACACUGUUCUAAAAACUUGACUUCGGAUUGUAGAGUUCAACACAUGCGCUCACAAAAUAUGGUUGGAAAUCUUUUAGGCGCUGCUCUAGCAUGAGAUUAGUUUUUUCCUGGAAAUUCACUCUAAAGAUAAAUCUAUGUUUUAACUUUUCAAGAUCUUAAGAAAAUAAAUUGUAAUAUCAAAUGAUUUAGUUGUCCUUAACAUCAACUAUGCCUAAGGGUUGUUUUGGUUCUACAUAUGUUCAAGAAGCUGGAUGUAAUAUUUAUAAGUUCAGGAGUAACAUGGAUAAACUUGAGCAAAUUUGAUUUUAUGUGCAUGGAUUUGUGAUUUCUGAUGGUGAACUUUUCAGGAUCUACAUGGGCGAAGGGUUAGGGUGAAUUAUGCUACUGAAAAACCUCGUGGUGGUGGUUUUGGAGGUGGCGGUGGUUUUGGAGGUGGAUAUGGUGCUGGUGGUGGGGGUUAUGGUUCUGCCGGUGGGGGUUAUGGAGGUGGGGGAUAUGGAGGUGGGGGAUAUGGUUCUGGUGGUGGGGGUUAUGGAGGUGGACAGGGUGGUAACUAUGGGGGCGGAGGAUACCAAAGUGGUGGAGGUGGAUAUGGUGGUGGCAACCAAUAUCCGAGUCAAGGUGGUGGAUUUGGUGGUUCUGGUAACUACCCUAGUGGAGGAGAAGGUGCCUUUGGUGGUGGUGGCGACGCUGUACAAGCUGAUGGAAACUACAGCUCUAGUGGACAAACUGGCUUUCUUCCUACUCAAAUCUUGGGACACCUGGAGGGAUUGGUGAAAGCUCCGGAGCAGUGGGUGGUCAAACGGAAGCUGGAGAUGAAGGUUUUGGGGCGGACAGUUUUGAUAAGGAUGAGGGUGAGGAGCCCAGUGAUUAUGCCAACACCAGGAACUGAAGACAGCCACCAAUAAUUGUAAGAGUUGUCUCGAAAUGUGAAAAUAAGUUGGAAAUUUUCUCUUUCUUGUGUCCCCAGUAUUUGGGUGCUAUCAUAUUCUCGUUCAUCCCCAUUCUGUCAGACUCGUUGCAAGAUGUUUCAUGACAUUUUUUAGUUUUGAGUGCUUUAUUAUUUUUCUGAAGGUGUAGGUCUUUGUUCUCAUCUUGAGGAGAUGUCUUCUUCAGUUAUACUAUCUUAUAUUUUCAGAUGAUGUCAAGAAUGAUUUUUAGCAUAUGUAAUUGGCCCCCCAUGGAUGUCUAUAUUUUCGGAUAAAGGGAACCAGCUUGCUUAUCGCUUUGACAGCUAUGGAUUAAGAGAGUCUUGAGUUUAGAUUUGUAAGAUUGUAUUUUUCCAGAUAAAAUUAUAAAUAUUGAGACAUCUACAUAUGAUUCCUCAUCACAAGAUGAUUUCACUCAAAUAUUUCUACUAUGAUUUCUGUUCGGUUUAUAUAGUGAAAUGGAGAUGAGCUGUGAACAGCAGAUAGCAUCGAUGUUUCUAUUCAUUGCUCAAUUCAAUUCCGUUAAUUUAUUUUACAAAAUUAUACGGAACUUGGUGCAUUUCUCUAUGAAAUAGUAUUCAUUUUAUUUUCUCUUAAACUAACAAAAAUGGUAAAAGCUGUCCAAAAAAAAAGAUAUUGAUACAAGGCACUUUUACUAAAAAAACAAACAAAAUAGCGUCUCUGCAGAUUAUCCGUAAGGCCGAAGUCUAUUUUCUCGUUACGAGAUGCUUCUAUAAUUUGUACAUUUAAAAAGAUAAAUAUGUAGAGAGGCCAAAACAAGACAAAAUCGCACUAAAGAGACAGCAUCUUAACAAGACUGUGGCAACCUCAAACACCGAGUUUCACAAGAUUUUCUGCUGAGGGCAAGGCAAGGAUGCGAACCAUCAUACUUCAAACAGCCCAGAAAGGUUUUGGGUUGGCCGAGGAACUAGAACAUUUAUCGAACGGCUCUCGGGCCGUCUCUCCCAGAUCUUCAUUAUCGUCGUCAUCGUCAUCUCCAUAUUCCAUUAACUUGAUUAGAGUAUCUAACAUAGCAUAAUGUUUCCAGUAAGAAAAAUAAUAAAAACAUAUGUAGUGAAAGAAAUACAAUCUUGGAAAUAUUAUAACAGGAUAACUAAACUGAUAAAGGCAAAAGCCAAUAUAAGUUACCUGGCACAAUAUAAGGUUUUGAUCUGUGGGUCCCAUUGUUAUUUACAUGCACUUUUGGUGUUGAGUCGAACUUUGGUGGGGGAGGAGGAGGCAGUGAACGCUUAGGAGGAGGAGGAGGCAUUUGAGAAGAUGAAGGCUUGACAAACUUCUUAGCAUCUUGAACAACUGAAAUAUCUCUUACACCUACAUGUGAAGUUAGUUCACGUGGCAUGGGAAAUUCUGAUCCCUGCAUAUUCUUCUGGGAAAGCAUAUAACAAAUCCCUCAAGUUAGCAAAUAUAUGGCGCCAUAAAUUGCAUAUGUAAUUAGCACAAAACAAUGCAAGUAGUGCUCAGAAUUUCUGCCUCUAAAAUAUGAAUAUGAAUAUGAAUAUGAAUAUGAAUAUAGGGAACAGGAAAAAUCACUUCUAAACUAACGAAGGAAGGAACUCACUAUAUGCACACAAUAAAAAGAUAUAAAUGAGGACAUGUAAUGGAAAUCAUGCCAAUGCCCAGUUGGAGAGGUGGGGUUUGAGACAAGUAAGAUGGCUUUCUGCUAAGGACCUAACUUGGUGACGAAAGGCCUAGAAGAAAGACCAGCACCAUCCUGGCUUACUAUUUACUUAUGGUUCAAUUUCUGCAGCUUCUACUUAAAUAAAAAAUAAAAAAUGAAGUACGCAGCAUCGAGAUCUAGGCCACCCCGAAAGCCUUCCACAGUAUCCGCUCUUCCGAGCAUCAUCCUCAUCCCCUUGCUCUUCUCUCUGUAACCUCAAUCUUAACUGUGUUUCUGUAUCAUUUAUUUCAUAACCUCUUCAAGCUAGAUGGAUAUGGUAUGUACAGGGCUUUGAUUGGUCUGGCUCUCAGCAAUGAAACACAAGGAUAACAUCCUGGAAUUCAAGGAUGUUCCAAGGGUCUGGUUCCUUGAGGAAGUUUUUCUACCCUGGAUACUCCAAGCUUGGUUUUCCAACAUGAAGUAAAGCCAGAGAACCCCGCUUCAAGAUAUGUUAUUUAUGGAUAGUUUUAUUUCCAAGCAACUACAGAAAAUGAUAUAGAACUUAACUUCCAAUAUGAUUUUCGUAAACUGUUGCUGGAAGCUGUGAAGCUGAGCAUUUUGCUCAUAUAUACCAUAAAUAGAUAAAUGAAGCAAUAAAGCAGAAUUUUGACCAGCACCAGAAAGACGCAAUGGAACAGCAAGAAACUAUCUCAUGCCAUGUGAAUAUAGCACCCUGUGAAACAUAUACAAAUGUCCAGUAUAGAGGUCCAGUAUCAGCUUGUUAGCUUCAUAGAAGAUCAGUGAAAAUACCUGGAACAAGAAGCAAUAAACAUUAGAAGAAAAUAAUACUCAUUCGGGGCCACAUUCAAGAAUAAGUUAAGUUUUAUUCCAAAUCCUGUAUUUACAUAUUUGACUUGAAAGUCGAGAGUUGAGACACAACACACAAUCUAGAAAAGCUACCGACCAAAGACAGUGGUGGAAUGUAAAUACAGUGAUUGAUAUUAUCAAAUUAUUACAUUAUAGCUUUCGACAAGUAUAUGCCGUUUAUUAUCCCUAUAUUACCCUAAUUUGCAGAGAAAGAGAUACCUGGUUUAGAUUUGCAGCAGGCAACUCCUGAAACUUUCGUCUUUGGGAACGCUUAUCAUUUGCAAGGGAGGGCACCUCACUCUGUGGGUGUGUGUCUGUGCUUGCUGUUGUGAUAGCAGGGGAAAUUGUAGCUGUAACUGGAGAAGUCGACUGCCUAAGGGCAAAAGCAACUUGUUGCAAAGGCGUCACCUGGGGAUAUAUUCCACCAUAACCGAUAUAGCUUGUUCCAGUUGCCAACCCGUGAGGAUAACAAGUGUUUGCUUGAGGUAGUGCAGAAUUUGGCAGUCCAGAUUGAGAUACUGGACCCUGAGAGGCAACAAUGCUCAAACCAGGAGUAGUUGACAUGAAAGCAGGUAUAUCAUUGACUUUUAAUGCAUUUCCAGGACUGUUGAUCCCAGCUUGCAAUUGAGGUGGAGGUGGAACAGCACCAUACACCUUACAUGAAGAUAUCCUUUUAUCAUAGAAACCAUGACAAGCCAAUUAGUAAUUGUCAACAAUCACAAUGAAAAAUACUCUUCCAGUUAUUUUUUCAUAAUCUUCAACAAUAUAAAUAAGAGGCACACUUUGGCGUAUCUGUCCUAAUUAAAUCCUAAUUGAGGAUUAAUAAACCCUAGUUGGGGAUUGAAAAACCCUAAUUCAGGAGUGAUGAACCCUAAUUGGAGCGGAUGCGUCAUUGCCUAAAAGUAAAAUACUCUUCUUCCAGUUGAUUUUUCAUAACAUUCAGGAUUUACAGGAUGCACAUGUAACAUGGUUUGUGUGAUACUUAUCUAUGUACCAGAGACCCAACAGUACUGAACCUUUCUAUGUUUAUUAAUUUUUCUGUUUGUGUGUGUGUGUGUUGUGGGGGGGGGGGGGGGCGUUUAUAUAUGAAAAAUUUGUGAAUCAACAAUGAUAAGCAUGAAUGAAGGAUAUAAAUGAAGCUUAAUUUCAUCUUGACAUGGAACAAGGCACUGCAGACACUAGCAAUAUCUCAGACACGACCAAAUGGAGGAGGAGAUUGUAGACAGCUGCGCAAAAUGUAUGUCUGAUAAAAACUUAUGCAGCUGGAAUCUUAUAUACAAGCAUCACUUGAAUCUGAUUACCUAGACGAACCAAACUCGGCACAAAUUGUAUCCAAAAGAUUUUCUGCCAAGAGCUUAGCACGUUCAAAACUUUUUGCAUCACUGCUUGACAAGAACAAAUGUAAUGGUUGUUGCAUUUCUGCGGGCAGGGAAAAACAUAAGAACGAUUACCAAUGGACUUGGAAAUGGUAAUAGAAAUGCCAACAAAUUAGAUUACAAUAAAAACCUUCAGUCUGCCCAUUUUCAGCAAACCCAGAACGCUGUCCUCUUAGUGAGACAGUUGCUCCUGUUUCAUUCGUAAUGUGGUUUACAUACUGGUCCUGCAUAUACAAAACCCAACCAGCAGCAACAAAAAAGAAUCUCUCCAGAUUUGAUGGAGAUGUCAGAGAAAGCUUCAGACAUUAGAAUCUUUUAUUUUGAAAAAACAAGUCAUUGAACAAAUCUAGCUAAAAACAUGCAUGCGAUGUAGCAGCGCUAUAUGCAUAACUGCUUAAGAGAUCGAGGCACAAAACAAUCCAAUAUAACCAUACACGAAGCACAGACACACACAAAUAUAUAUUAAACCUAAUUAUAACCCCCCCCCCCAAAAAAAAAAAAUGUAGACAAAAACCCCUUGCUUGGAAGUUGAAUAAUUAGGUAAUUACCAGAAGAGGAAACAAACAAGAGACGGAAGAUUGAGGAAACUGGAAAUUACUGUUGAACAUUUUCCACAAACAAAUGACAUCAUCCAUUUUCCUCUAACUGUGUUAGGGGAACUGACUGCUAACACUUACUUACAGAAGAAGAAAAAGGGGGAAAAACAUAAAGAAUGGAGGAAAACAAACAAAGAGACUAAAUAAAACAUAGAAGAUUAGACAAAGAAAAUCAGUGUAAAUGAAUGAAUGAAAAUCUCACAUUUGGGCCACGGAUACGAGAAGCAAUGUCCACUGAUGGGUCUACCUCAAAUCCCAAAAAGAUACAGGUACUUAAUAAAUGAUCAACCUGACACACAGUAAUCAUUAAGUCAGCACAGGAUUCUAAACCAUAGAGCUCGCAUAUCACUGAGAAGCAGACUUACCUUAACUCCACUGUUUAAUGUUGGCUGUUUAAGCAUUUCUUCCACCAUGGCAGCGGCAUAAUCAACUGCUUUAAUUCGUUCUGCUGUUGUUUCUAACUGAAGCCACAUUAUAUAACAUGUCAUCAUAAAAGUACACCGAAAGGAAGAGAGAACAGGAAAUCAAGUAUUUGAAAGAAGGGCAAUGCUUAACAAUCACUAGUGAUGCUGACAAAUCUAGAGCAAGUUACCCAAAAUGUCAUAAGAGAUCAGGUCUAAUGGUUGCACUUGAAAUCAAGGAUGAGAUUUGUUUAAUAAGAUAAACUUACUUCAGUAUUUAGGAAUUCAUAGAUUAAUUAACUUCAUGUUAAGAAACAGAUCUUCAAUGAACAUAGUCUUACAAAUAGCAUUGGGAAAAGCUUAUACAAAGUGUUCAUAACUCCGAGCCAAAUGGGGAUUCAGGAAGCAUGUUAAGUAUUCUAACAAUACCAGACCCUCACAUAGCUUAUAAGGUCCUUGGUCCUCCAACCAAUAAGAUAUAGACUUGAUAAAAAAACUAACCAUGUGCAAAUGAAAAUAGUUCAGCCUAAUAAUAAUUAGGCUUUAAAAGCAGAAUAUCAAUUUAUAGGGCCGAAUGGUGAGCAAUUCUUUAGUUAGUUUGAUAUUAGCACGCAGUGACAGCCAAUUUGACAAUGUCUCCAAAAUAAAAUGUGAAGCUUGUAUAGAACUGACAGUGUCAUCCCAAGAAACUGACAUGUGGCGUAUCUCCAACUUCUAGAACCAAAUUCCUCUAGUAUUCGAGAUAAUUGAUGCAAAAAUGAAAACAUUUUGGUGUCCAGGAUUUUUCUUGCGCUGAUCAAAACCGUUCAGAUAUGAUUUCGUGACAGCACCAAAACUUCAUCACUUAUCUUAUCUUCAAUGAAUUCAUAGAUCAUGCAAAAAACUGAAGUACUUACAUGUGAGGCUGCAGAAAUGUGGAGAUAUAAAGGUCUCUCACCAUCAGGUGGUGCAUUUGGAGGAUGAUAUUUCCCCCUAUAUUCAAUCCAAAAAUGAAUCAUACAGAAUAGGCAAAGUAAAUGAAAAUAGAAUUACUUGUAGGCCUAUUUACCGAGUGAUUACGACAGCCCCCGUGCUCUUCUGAAUCUGAAAAUUGUAUAUAAAUUAUCAACUCCCAAUCAAGAAAAAAACAAUCAUGUGCAUCUUUAAAUCCUGUUAAUUGUUUAAUGUGUUGUUCUUCAGAUGUCCUAGGUUACUAAACCAAAACAUUGAUAGUUACCUCUUCCUGAGUUUGGCGCUUUGUAAGCUUGUACCGAACAGCCGAGUCAGCAUCAUUUAUGACAAUUUCUCUUGCUAUUAGUUCAUCUUGGAUCUUCGGCUAUAAUGAAGAAGCCAUACUAUUGUGAGCAAUCAUGCCACAUCCAAUGGAACUCCAGAUAUAUAGCGUGAAAUAUUUCAAGCAAAUGACAACAAAAUAAUGAGUUUGUUUUACAAAAACAAUUAGUUGAAACGAAAAAUGGAUGAGAAUGAGAAACAACAAGAGUUCUGUCGCGCUUGCAAGGACCACUAACAUAAUGUCUUCACGAAAACUUAACAUAAACUUACUUGGACUAGCUUUUGGACGAUGGCAGCAGCAUGUUGCUGUAAAGGCACCUGAAUAACUUGUAGUGGGUUGGCGUUAGAAGUGGAAAAAGGGAUUGCAAUAGGAGCACCAGCCACUAUGGAGACAGCAGGCAUGGGCAAAUAUCCCAUGUUUGCCAGUGGAAAUAUCCCUGGAACUGCUACACCACCAGAAAGCAAUGAUUCGUCAGGCUGAUCCCACUUUCUCUUUUUUCUACAAAACAACCGACUAUUGUUAAAACCUCAGCUGCGCUAUUGUGUAUAUUUAUUACCGUGGAUACAAAUACAAUCUUAUGUUUGUAGGUUAAUCAAUGGCCUAUUACUGGGAUAAGAAUAUUCUAUGAAAUCAUAACCUCAAACGAGGUACAAAACCAAGAAAUACUCAACAGAGUGGAAAUUCCAUCUUAUAGAUUUCAUCAAGUUUACAAUGUCCCACUCUAGAGAAAUUCCGCCCCACGAAAUGCUCUUUCAGAUCUUAAAAUUCUAAAAUAUGAAUAUAAUGCACAAAUAACAUAAACAUCUCUCUCGGAUGAGUUAACUGUGAAUAUAAUGCACAAAUGCACAAAUAACAUAAACAUCUUAAAAUUCUAAAUAUGAAUAUAAUGCACAAAAUUCUUAAUCACCAAAUUUUGGUGCUGGGACAACGAACUUCUUAGAAAUCAAUUGAACCAGAUAGCAUAAGUAAAAAAAAUCUUAACUUCUUCUUGUUGAUACAUUAGGGCUUCCAAUCUAUUUGCUCGAUCCCCACAACGGAACGAAAUGCAAUAUAUAUUUUGAAGAAAGUGCUAUAAGAGUCAAAAUCCAAACAAAGGAAUGUACAUGCAUAUAUAGCUGUCAGUAUAUGAUGAGCAAAUUAGGUCCACGGACCAAAAAAAAUCAAAGCGCCGGACCUUUGUUUCGUCACUGAUGAAUCAGAUUCCGCUGAUGAUGAAACCCUAGGGCAACUGUCUUCCGUCAUUGAUUUAAUCCGUUACCUUCUUCCACAAUUUUUCGCCAUAAUAGAUUGUGUUGUUUCCGUUUUAGAUUUGAAAUUGACGCGAUAAUUAGUCUGUACCAAUCUGCGUCAGUGUGCGGGCUUUAUGAGCUUGCAGAAAGAAGAACCUGAACGAUACUACCCGAGUUUCGUAUGGUUUGAAUCUUUGCCCAAUUCGAAAACGACUUUUAAAACUUCGAAUUUUGAAGAAAAAUAAAUCAGUGUUAUNAAACCAAGAAAUACUCAACAGAGUGGAAAUUCCAUCUUAUAGAUUUCAUCAAGUUUACAAUGUCCCACUCUAGAGAAAUUCCGCCCCACGAAAUGCUCUUUCAGAUCUUAAAAUUCUAAAAUAUGAAUAUAAUGCACAAAUAACAUAAACAUCUCUCUCGGAUGAGUUAACUAGUGAAUAUAAUAGACACAAAUAGACACAAAUAACAUAAACAUCUUAAAAUUCUAAACUAUGAAUAUAAUGCACAAAAUUCUUAAUCACCAAAUUUUGGUGCUGGGACAACGAACUUCUUAGAAAUCAAUUGAACCAGAUAGCAUAAGUAAAAAAAAUCUUAACUUCUUCUUGUUGAUACAUUAGGGCUUCCAAUCUAUUUGCUCGAUCCCCACAACGGAACGAAAUGCAAUAUAUAUUUUGAAGAAAGUGCUAUAAGAGUCAAAAUCCGAACAAAGGAAUGUACAUGCAUAUAUAGCUGUCAGUAUAUGAUGAGCAAAUUAGGUCCACGGACCAAAAAAAAUCAAAGCGCCGGACCUUUGUUUCGUCACUGAUGAAUCAGAUUCCGCUGAUGAUGAAACCCUAGGGCAACUGUCUUCCGUCAUUGAUUUAAUCCGUUACCUUCUUCCACAAUUUUUCGCCAUAAUAGAUUGUGUUGUUUCCGUUUUAGAUUGAAAUUGCGCGAUAAUUAGUCUGUACCAAUCUGCGUCAGUGUGCGGGCUUUAUGAGCUUGCAGAAAGAAGAACCUGAACGAUACUACCCGAGUUAGUGCUGCCGUCGGUUCAGGAACCGCCGGUUCAGGGUCCGGAAUCCGGCGAACCUGAACCGGCCCGGAUGAUAGUAUAAGGGCCGGUUUUCUGACCCUGAACCGGCGGUUCCGGUCCGGGCCGAGAACCGGCGGUUCAAGGGCCGAAAACCGGCGGUUCCGGUUUUUUGGUUUUUUUUUUUUUUAAAUUUAUUUUUGUAUUCUUUUUUAUGAAAUUAAAUGAUUUGUGAUGAAAUUUCAAAAUUCUAAUUCAACUUAAAUCUUAAAAUAUAUAAUAUAAAUGACUUGUGUAGAAAAUUUAAUGAUUGUGAUGAAAUUAAAUGAUUUAUGUCAUAUUUUUUUUUCUUUUUAUGCAAUUAAAUGAUUUAUGUCAUGUUUUAAAAUUAAAUGACUUGUGUUGAAAAAUUAUAUUUUAUGAAAUUAAAUGAUUGUGAAUUUGUGAUGAAAUUUCUAAGUUUUAAUUCAACUUUAAAUAAAAAUUAUAAACAUGUGUUGAAAUCGAAAAUAUAAACAUGUAAUAGUUUUUAUGUCAUAUUUUAAAAUUAAAUGACUUGUGUUGAAAAUGUAUAUUUUAUUAAAUUAAAUGAUUUGUGAUGAAAUUUCCAAAUUUUAAUUCAACUUACAAUAUAAAAUAUAAACAUGUGUUGAAAUCGAAAAUAUAAACAUGUAAUAUCUUUUAAUCGAAAAUAUAAACAUGUAAUAUAAUGUAAAGCAAGAACAAUAAAGUAAAGCAAUUGAAUAAGCAAGAGAAUAGCUAAAGAAUUAUAGAGCAAGAGCAAUUUAACAAGAGCAAUAGCACAUAAAGAAUGGAGGAGAAUUAGAAGUAGAAGAGAGGAGAGUGUAGAAUUGUUAAUACAAUGGAGUGAUUUUGAAGGUGGAAGAAGGGGGGUAUUUAUAGAUAAAAUUGGGUGGGAGAAAAUGUAAAUUAGAUAAAAUUGUGUGGGGAAAAGUAUAAUUAUAAUGUUGAAAAAAUAAAAUAAAAAAUAGUAAAACAAAAACAUACAUUUUGAAAUUUGAAUUAAAGUGAGUGUGAGUGAAUGGAAUUGGGAUUUGGGAUGGAAUGGCCGGUCAAGACUCAAGGCCUAGGCGCCUAGGCCUGCGCCCCCUGCUGCCCACUGCCCCCCCCCCUGCCGCAUCCCCCAUGUGCCAGCCAGCCACCACCCAGCGCCAGCAAGCAACCAGCAGGUCCAGCACAGCAGCUCCCUCGGUUCCAGCGCCGGGACCGGCGGUUCCGGGCCGAAUCGGCGGUCCGGACCGGCGAUUCAGGGUUGGGAACUCUAUGAACCUUAACCGGCCCGGAUUUCUGGCGGUUCGGCCCUGAACCGGACCGUCGGUCAACGGUCCGGGCCGGAACCGUUGACCUGCGGUCCGGUUCAGGGUCGAACCGCCGGUUCGACUCGGCCCUUGGCAGCACUAACCCGAGUAUUCGUAUGGUUUGAAUCUUUGCCCAAUUCGAAAACGACUUUUAAAACUUCGAAUUUUGAAGAAAAAUAAAUCAGUGUUAUUCGAGAAUUCGAAUAUAAAAAAUUUAUGAUCAAAUUCGAUUGGAACAAAAAAAAAAUCCAAAGAUAACAAAAUCAGAAUAGUAUAAUAUAUUAUUAUAUUUAUAAGAGUAAAUAUUCGAUUUUGUCUCAUCGUAUUAACGUUUUAACAAAAAUGUCGGAUAAGUGCAUACAAAAGUACCCAUCGUUUCAAAGUUUAGUCAUUUAUGUCCCGAGAAAAAAUUCCGACAUCUGAAAACUUAUGUGGAACAUCGAAAUUUCACAUUCGCAAUUUACGUGUGACACAUUCAUCACACCAAUAAAAUAUGUCACAUAAGUUGCGAAUGUGGAAUUUCGGCAUUCCGCGUCAGUUUUCAGAUGUCGAAUUUAAAAAUGAUUGCAUAAGUAAAUCGACACUGUUUUGAUGAAAUGGUGGCACGUCAAUUGCCAAAUUAGAUUCAAUUUAGAAUUUUGUUUAAUUUUUUGUAUUCAACAAAUCAAAAUCUUAUAUUUUUUUCAAUAUAGUUUCAUUUUUUAUAUUUCUAUUUCCCAAUAAAUAUGGUUUUCACUCCAACUCCAAACCAUUUAAAAUUAUUUAAAAUAAAAAUUAGCUGAGAGCUUAAAAGUGGAACUCCCUCUUUUUAAAAAUCUCAAAUUUAUAGCGCCAUUAGCCACAGCUCAUCUCUCUCAUUCAAAAACCCUAUAGCAAAAACCUCUCGCCGGUUUCCGAUUCCUUUAUCGUCGGCGAUGGCGGCCGUUUCCAAGCCGCCGGCGAGCUUCGCCGUCACCCCGCACAAGCUCUCCAUUUGCAUAUUGGUUCAAGUUUACGCGCCGCCUUCUCAAAUUUCCAUCCCCUUCCCUUUCUCCUCAGUUUCGCAGCACAAUCGUCUCGGAAUUUUCCUCAUAUCCCUCACCAAGGUUUGAUCCGCGUCGAAAAUAUUACCAUUGUUAUUGUAAUAACAUUUUGAUCAGCAAACUGGCAGUUCAAUCGAUUUCGUUUUGUAUUAUGUAGGACUGUGGUGGCAUUUUCGAGCCUACGUUGGAUGAGUUGAUUGCUCAGCUGAAGGAGAUUGGUGGCUUGCUCAAUCACUGGUUGAGUGACCACUUAAUGAGGAGGCUCUCGUCGCUGGCCUCACCGGAUGACUUGUUUAAUUUAUUUGCUGAUUUAAGAGGUAGCUCUUGCUUUCUUCUCUUGAUAAAAGUUGAACUGAGAUUUUGAAUCAGCGGUGCAAGUUUGAUGCACAAUGUAUGUAGUUAUCAUCAAAUGCUGAAGCUCGUGCAGCAUUUGCUUUGUUUUAGAUGGUUGUAGCUGGGUAUAUGACACAUUUGAUAGUGUUUCCGUAGAAACAAAUCAGAAAGUGCUUUUGAUUAGUGUUUUUUUUCCCCCCCAUAAUCAUCAGGGAUCAUUGGGGGCUCGGACUCUAAUGUUAUGGAUGAUGAUCAAAUUAUGCUGGAUCCUAACAGUAUCAUUGGCAUGUUUAUACGACGUUGCUUGCUUACCUUUAAUCAGAUGUCAUUCGAGGUAAUUAUAUGCAGCAUUCCAUCUAUUGAACGAUGUUUUACUUCGGAAGUGAUCUAUCCAAAAUUAUUUUCUCGUUUCAGGGUAUUUGCCAUCUCUUAACAAGUAUAGGGUCAUAUUGCAAGGAAUCCUUCUCAGGGUACCCACCACCUUACGAGUCAUCACAUAUGGAUGAGUCCACUAGUUAUCCAAAUGCCCCAUCAGAAUAUGAGAAUAUGGACAUGGAGAAUUUUUACGAGAAAUCUCGUGAAGACUUUGAAGAAAGUAAAACGGAGAUUGGAAGAAUCCCUUUCUACGGACAGUCAUCAAAGACAUAUUCUGAAUUUAGUGAUGGUAUUCUUGUGAGAGAUCUAUGAUUUUUUUAGUAUGGUUUUAUCAUGGAUCCUAUGAGAAUGAACCCUUUGGAUGUUUUAAACUUCAUAUCACUUUUGCAAACUUCUAUUGUCACUGUUGAUUUGAUAAAUAUCUUCUCAUUGAGCCAAUAUAAUACCUCCACAUUUGAACUCAAGCUUAAUUUCCACCUGCUUUUCAGUAUUUCAACUUUCAAACUUUCAACAGUUUUUACAUUAUAUAAGAUGAUACUUGUCGUGUCUUAUGAUUAGCACUGUUUUUGGUGAUUCAGUUUAGGUUCUAGAUACAUGUUUCAGAUUAUACUUCAUUUGAACUCUCUAAAAGUCCAUGCUGUGAGCUUUGACAUCUUGAUUUUACUGGUCACAGAUUGUGGUAUCUCUUCGAGCCACAGGCUGGAACAUAUCGAUAAGAAUGCAGAAGAUAAGUCUUGUGUAUUGUCUUCAACUGAUAUGUCAAGGGAUAUUGGCUCUGUUAGUGGGACUUUCCUGCACACAAAUUGGCAGGUACAAGGUUACCUAUCAGAGCAAGCCAAUGUUAUUGAAAAGUAAGUGUUUUUUAUUUUAUUUUAUUCUCUUUUAUAUAGUUUAGAUGUAUCAAGAUACUGCAGAAUAUUUGGAGCUAGUGAAGCUGGAUAAACUAUAUAUCCAUUUCUAAUUCCAUUCUGCCUUCUUUUUUGAUUUUAUUACCGAACUAAUGAUUUCAACCGUCAGAUAUGGAAGCUCCUUUCCUCUUGAUGCUUUUGAGUCCAUACUGAAAAAGCUUCAGCUGUUGGCGCCUGAAUUACAUCGAGUGAGUUUCUUAUUUGGAACUUUUUGAGUCGUAAUUUUAUCCUGUGGUGCUUAAUGCUUAUUUGAAUGGGAGAUCACUUCAACUGUACACUCACAAUAGUCCUGUCGAUUUUCCAAUUUAGGUUCACUACUUGCGAUAUUUAAAUAACCUUCAUCAUGAUGACUAUCCGGGGGCACUGGAAAACCUCCACCGUUAUUUUGAUUAUAGGUAUGAAUUAAUGCAUGUUCAUCCUCUUGAAUUUUCUUUUGUUUGACUUUGUGUAUCUGUUCUGCUUCUGAUCUUUCAUUUCUCUAAUGCCUCUUUGUGCGGCGAAUGAGAUGAAUAAGUUGAGGGGCAUAUUAUACUUAUUUCCUUUUGCUAUUUGGCCUCCUUCCCAAACACAGCAAGUGCUCAUAGCCAACAUUUAGUUAUUUUAUUAUGAUUAUAUCAAUAUAUCUCAAUCUUAAUUAAUUAGUCAACAUUAUAUUAGCUAGUGUACAAGAAAAUAAUCACUUUUUGAUGUGUGUGAAAUCAGAAAUUAUUUGCUUGAUGAGUAAUUGAUAAUGGUUAACACCACCCUAGAUAUGGUAGAAACCUCCCCUGUCACGUGGUUCACUGCGAUAUAUCAUAUUCUGUUAUUGAAAUAAUCAAUUUUCCCCUAAUCACCUUAUGUGAAAAAUAUUCAUGAUAAAGUGCAGGGACUGAAGGAGUUGAAUGUGUUCCUCCCCCAUCUGGAUGCAGUAGCUUUGGAAGAUAUGAGAUUGCUUUAUUAUGUUUAGGAAUGAUGCAAUUUCACUUAGGACACCCGAAGGAAGCUUUGGAGGUAAGCAUGUGGAAUCCAGUCUCAUCCACUCUCUUUGUUCAUCUUCUGAUAUUCUCUGUUUGCUGUUAUUGUUGUUUUCCUGUCAUUUACUUUUUGGGGUUGCGAGCAUGUUAUGUAUCGCUGUUUUGAAGGAUCUAUUUCUGUGAUAGACACUACUUAACUGAUACUUCUCUUCAUAUGUUCAGGUAUUAACUGAAGCAGUUCGAGUUUCUCAGCAGGUAAAUUUAUUAUGUUUAGCUUCAUUCAGGUCCCUUAGUUUUAUUCUCAAUUUUGAUUAGUUGGAUUUAGCUUGUGCAUUUGUCCGUGGUGACAUGGUCAUAUUCUUAGGAACUCCCCAUCUCCAGCCAACUGACUUUGUAAACUGUCAGACUAAUUCAUUCUGUAACUGAAAAUCUCAAUGUGUAUUGUGGUUGUUUUAGAAGUUUUGUGUUUAUUUCUAUUAGUUUACCAAAGGCUAAAGUGAUGCUAAGAUUGUCCUACACUUAUGUGACUAUAUAUCUUUUUGUAGUUAAUUUUCAUUCAGUCAUUUCCUAUUGUCAGUUACUGUUGUCUGUUUGAGUAUUUGGUUCCUCUUGUUGGAUUCUCUGAUUUUCUGUCAAACAUGCAGUACAGUGAUGAUACAUGUCUUGCGUAUACACUGGCUGCUAUUUCCAACCUCUUGUCUGAAGUAGGAAUAUCAAAGACAUCUGGAAUAAUUGGAUCCUCAUAUUCACCUGUUGCUGGUAUGGGGACAUCAUUAUCUGUCCAACAACAAUUAUAUGUGCUCUUACGGAGAUCUUUGAAGAGGGCAGAAAGUCUGAAGUUGAAAAGACUGGUAGCAUCUAUUCAUCUCGAAAUUGCCAAGUAUGAUAUAACGGUGAGGAUUCUGUAAUUUCCUUUUGGCUCCAAAGUACUGGCCUUAAAAUCUAAAAAACUUGCGAUGUAAGAUUGAAAGCCUGUAUCAGCACUCCAAAACAUGCUUCUCGUGUUCGACAAAGUUUUGGCUGAAUUGUUGGCCACAAAUUCCUUAUUGCACUUUCAUGAAAGUGGAUAUAAUUUUGUUAUCCUGUAAUGAUGAAGAAGGAGCUUACCUUCUAUACUUUUUCUUCCUUUCACUUACUUUUUCUAUACUUUGAAUCGCAGCAUGUUCAAAGGCCACUGCUUUCAUUUGGCCCGAAGGCUUCCAUGAAACUUAGAACAUACCCUGCCAACAUCUACAAGGUUCUUCCUUUCACUUACUUUUUCUUUCUUUCUUUCUUUCUUUCAUCUUCUUCUUCCCUUUUUCUUUUUUUUGUUCCUGCUGAUAUUGUUUUGAGAUUAGAAAUAACACGCUCUCUCUUAAUGCUGUCACGAGUAAUGCAGGAAUUGUGGUUGAGUUCUCGUCUAAUAAAUGAUUUUGGGGAUGAAAGUUCUGUAAUGACUGCUGAUGGCGCUUUCUGUACGAAAUGGCUGAAAAGUCUGAAAAAGCCAAUAGGCUCGUUAAUAUUCAGUCAAGAAAAUGAAACAAGGAGUAAUUCCAGUGCAUUCCAAUUUUCUGCACAGCCGAGCUCAAUUCCUGAAUCCGUUCUACAAUUAUUAGGAUCUUCCUAUUUAGUCCGUGCUAGUUCAUGGGAGAUGUAUGGCAGGUGAUCUAUUCAACACCCUUUCAUUGUAUUGGUUCUUGACGUUGGAUGAGAUUUCUACUUGUCUUUGACAUCCUAUAAUUUCGUAAAUAGAUGUGUAGCUAUUCUUUUCCACACGACAUUGGGAGGACAAACUCUUGUCUUCUCACUCUUGGCAGUUUCCUAAACUGGCGAAAAAGUAAUGGUUUCAUAAUCAUGAGUGCUAUUAUCUUCAUUUGUAAUCUGAUUCUUUUGUAUGUGAUAUAUUCAUUUUGUCUUUUGUAGUCUUCUCAUCAUUCUCCAUAUUUUCUAUUCAGUGCUCCUCUAGCUCGACUAAAUGCACUGACUUUUGCAACUUGCUUUGCAGACUCUUCAAGGUAAUUGCAAUCUCUCCUGGGAUCUAUUACCUGCUGUUGCUUUGUGUUAUUUCAUCUGCUCUCAUUUCUAUGCUAUUGAACAUCAUUGCACAAUAACUAGGAAUUUGGAUCUUUUACAGUUUAUCUGAUGCUGCGUUAGCAUACUCCAAGCUUAUCCAACAUUUGGCUGUCUAUAAAGGAUACCAAGGUUGUAAAAAAUGGAUACUAUGUACUGAAUAGUCUUUCCUACCUCUAUGCAAGUGCCUUCUCUUUUACUUACAUCCUAUUUUUGUACGCAAUAUCUAGAUGCUUUUGCUGCCCUGAGAAUAGCAGAGGAGAAGUUUUCAUGUAUUUCAAAGUCCAGAAUCGUGCUAUUGAAACUACAGUUGCUGCAUGAGUGUGCUUUACAUAGGUAUACUGUGUUAGUCAUAUUUAUUAUCAAAUAAGUAUUUACAGGGUAGACACCUCACUGUUUCUUUGGUUUUCAACAUCUCCUUUAGAGGACAUUUAAAACAAGCUCAGCAAUUCUGUGAUGAGCUUGGGGUUUUGGCCUCUUCCGUGACUGGUGUGGACAUGGAGCUGAAGACAGAAACCAGUCUCCGUCAUGCUCGGACAUUACUUGCUGCAAACCAGUGUAGCCAGGUUUAGUAUUCUUUGCCAAAAUUUUAUGUUUCCUCAUAUAUUCGUUUACCUGACUGGGCAGGAGGUUGAUGAUGAGCUAUGCUUCAUCAAAUAAACAAGAAAUCACAAAUAUGAUGAAUAUUUAUUUUGGUUUCAGGAUGGUAUUCUUAUGUUUUUGAUUCCAUUAUCUCUACCUGUAAAUGAUAAUUCUCUAUUCUCUUUUUAUAACUUUAAGCCUCAUCAGUGAGCAUUGUGCUUAUCCAACUGAAGCUGUUAAAUUUUGCACUAGAAUUUGUAUUUGAUCAAUUAGAUGCUUCAGGAAUUAGUUCUAAUUGCUGAAGGUCUAUAUUGUGAAUAUGUUUUUGAAUUGGGAGGGGGAUAUGCUCCUAGCAUGACCAUAUAUGAAAAUACCAUUCCAGAAAACAAAGUGGAACAUAUUUUAUUAGUGUUUGCUUCUCCUUUUUUCUCAUGAAAUGGCCUUCAAUUUACGUUUAAUGCCCCAUUUGUUGGUUAAUCUAGCCAACCUUUUUUCUAGAACUUGCUACAUUCAAUUGUAGCUGAUGGGAGUUGUUCUUGCAGGCAGCAGCUGUUGCACACACUCUAUUCUGCACAUGUUAUAAGUUUAACAUGCAAGUGAAAAAUGCUACUGUUCUUCUGUUGCUUGCUGAGAUACACAAGGUACUAAGAGUUGGACCAUACGGGAAUCUGUUAUCUACUUGCAUCAUUCGAUACUGGAACAAAAUAGUGAAUUCUGGUGAUAUAUGAUUUUUAAUGAUUAUGAUGAUUUUGUAUGAUAAUAAAUUGAGUGUUUCAUCUUUAAGUACAGGGUUGUUUAUACGGUACUAUCUCAAUCGACAAGGUUGCAUUCAUUUGGUCUUUUACUGCAGAAACAGCAGUUGGUUUGUCAAGUUCUCAUGCCUAUUUUUCUUUGCUGAAAUCCGUUUUUUAUACUUUGCCCGUUUCAGAGGUCAGGCAAUGCCGUUUUAGGUAUUCCAUAUGCUUUGGCUAGCCUUUCCUAUUGCCAAUCUUUUAAUCUGGAUCUGCUAAAAGCCUCUGCAACACUAGUACUGGCUGAGUUAUGGCUUUCUCUUGGACCAAAUCAUGCGAAAAAGGCAUUGUCCCUCUUACAUAGCUGUUUCCCCAUGCUUCUUGGACAUGGUGGUUUGGAGCUACGUUCUCGGGCACUUAUUGUGGAAGCAAAAUGCUAUUUGGCUGACCCAGACUUUUCAGGUAUUUUACUGCUAUAUCCUUCCUUUAUUCUCUUCCAUCUUCAAGUGAGUCGGGGUUUGUUGUACCUCGAGGAUGGAGGAAAUUGUUUGAGAACUUUUUAUUUGUUUCAAUAGUUUCAGACAAUCCAGAGAUGGUGCUAGAACCUUUAACACAAGCUUCGGAAGAACUUCAACUAUUGGAGGUUAGUUAAUCUCCUGAAUUGUUCCGUGUAUUUUGUCCAUAUACGCCCGUUGAAGAUGUCUAGUGCUUCUUUAUUUCCCAUACAACUUUUAAUCACGAGAUCGUGUGGGAAUGGUUCUGUUUUCUCACUGCAAAACUAUGACAACAUGUCCAUGCUUCAAGCAUCUGUGCUGAAGAAGAUGAUAUUGAAAUCCCAAUAUUUUUCGACUACUAAGAUAAUAUUUGCUUCUUCACAGUAUCAUGAAUUAGCAUCAGAAGCUUUCUACUUGAUGGCCAUUGUAUACGACAAGCUCGGGCGGUUUGAUGACAGGGAAGAAGCCGCGUCUUCGUUUAGGAAGCACAUUACUGCAUUUGAGAAUCCAGAAGAAAUGGACGAUUCUCUCUUCAGUAAGUUUUAAUCAGAUUGCUGAUGUGCGUAUAUAUUUAUAUAUAUAUGUAUAAAUGAAAUAAACCUUUGCUGCAUAUUAACUAUUCCUGUUGUGUGUAUCAUUGGACAAUGUCAUAUUUAGUUCUGUAUUUCUAUGACUCUGUUUUUAGUGUACAGUGUGCAUCUUAAGCACAUCGUUUCUCGAAAAUUGUAGUCUUUUUUCUUUUUUGAAAACUUUCCCUUAUAUUUUAAACUUAAUUCACAUUUAAUACAUCAAUUUUGAUGAGUCUUUAAACUAAAAAGACCAUUUUACUUUAUUUUAUUUUGGAUUUUCGUUGGCACUUGGGGGUGGGUGGGGUCGGGGGUCUGGGGGGUAGACAGGGCAGGGGGAGUAAAAAAAAAAUUUCGUUGGCACUUAUGGCACUAUUAGUGCCAUAAGUGCCACUAAACUAAAUAAUAAACGUAAAGUUUUUGGCCUUCGGUGGUGGGUGGGGUCGGGGGUCGUGGGGGUAGGACAGGGCAGGGGGAGGUAAAAAUUUAACGUUGGCACUUAUAGUGCCAUAAGUGCCUAACCCGACCCGCGUGCCUGAUCCUACCCGGCACGCGACCCGCGCUCCUGACCCUACCCAGUCCGCCCAAUUAAGGGCAAAAACGUCCCAAAGCUAUAAAAAAUGGCCAAAAUUUAUGUUUUUCAAUGGUGGCCAUAAUUGUGUUUUAUGUUCAUUUUGCUAUCAAAAUUUUACUCUAUUAGAUCAAUGUCAACUCUGGAUGAAUAAGAUGCCUACAACUUCUCAUAAUUCAAUACAAAAGCAUCAAUACUUCGAUCGGCGAGCGGAAGGCAACCAACAACUUCAACCACGCGUAAUUCACAAAAUGAUGACACGGCAGCGGAGGAGAAUUGGCGACAUGAAGAGAUAGACGGCAGAGAAGAGAGGUGGAGGCGGCGCUAGGAAGUGUAGCGUUGGCUAGGGCAUGGAGAUCUGCUGGAGAGAGAUGGAGCUAGGCAAAAAGGAGAAUAGAAAGCUAGGGCACUCGUACGUAAAAUUUAACAUUAUUUUACUUCUUUUUUUUUAAUGCUAUGAAACCGGUUAUUUACCGCUUUAAUACAGUUUAAUUAAAAUCGGUGUGAUAAUAUAGCUAGGACACUGCAUAAAAGAAACCGGUAGUGAAAAACCGAUUUCUAUCAGCGCACUUUUCUUAAAUAGAAACCGGUUUUUUAAGCUUUGAAACCGAUUUUAAGCAAAAAUCAGUUUUUUUUAAGUGGUUUCUAUUAGAGUUUUUGUUGUAGUGCGCCAUCAGCCAAGCCCGAACCUUGCUAGGCUGCCGCCACAACACCUCCCCGACGUUGCCCAUCCCAUUCCUAGCAAAGCUCUCCACCAACCGCCGCAUAAGAAAGCCACAACGCCAAAACCGAUCACCAGCAAAGCUCAACCAAAACUUGGAGCAAAACCUCCAAAGCCUAGAUAACCAUACGAAUAUGAGAGUGCGUAGCCAUAUCCAAGCGUGUCGCAUUCUUAAUUUCCUCAAUCUCGUGGGGCCACCAGCCCACAGUGUGCGCAUGAUUGGCCAUUAUAUCUGGCACUUUAUUUUCUUCUAUAUAAAUAUGUGUAAUCUGAAGCCUAAAAUUCGACAGCAUGCCCAAGACCUUGUCCCAAAGCGCAAAGAAGCGCCAAGGGACAACUUUAGAAUGUNUUUUUUUGGCUUGGGGGGUGGGUAGGGUCGGGGGGUCUGGGGGGGGUAGACAGGGUCAGGGGGAGUAAAAAAAAAAUUCGUUGGCACUUAUGGCACUAUUAGUGCCAUAAGUGCCAUAAAAUAAAAUAAUAAAGUAAAAGUUUUUGGCUUGGGGGUGGGUGGGGUCGGGGGUCUGGGGGGUAGACAGGGCAGGGGGGUAAAAAAAAAAUUUCGUUGGCACUUAUGGCACUCUCGUGCCUUAUGUGCUUGGCCCGACCCGCGUUCCUGAUCCUACCCGGCACGCGACCCGCGCUCCUGACCCUACCCAGUCCGCCCAAUUAAGGGCAAAAACGUCCCAAAGCUAUAAAAUGGCCAAAAUUUGUGUUUUUUCAAUGUGGCCAUAAAUUAGUGUUUUAUUGCUUCAUUUUGGUCUACUUCAAAAUUUUAACUCUAUAUAUAUAUAUAGUAAUAAUUUUCUAUUAAUUUUUAUAUUUAUCUUUUAAUUAAGAAAAGACGUCUUCAAUCACAAAGAUGCACUUGUAGGUUCCGUGCGGGACACUAAUAAAUUUUGUACAAUAUGUGGACUAGAGUUACUUAUUUAGGGAUGAUUUUAUCUAGUCGUUUUGCGUUUUCGACUUUCUAUUGAUCUUGACUCGUUAGAUUGUCUGAGCUCGACUAGAGAUAUAUAUCUUGUCCCUUCAAUAUGUCAAUUUGAACAUCAAUUCUAGACUGUUCUACCUCUCAUAUUUAACUAUGUAAGUUAGAUUUAAAGAAGGCCACAAAAAAGUUGGCCUUUUUCAAAAUGAUGCAGGGUACAAAAUUGGUUUUAUUGCAAGUACAUGGUCCAAAAUGUAUUUUUUUUAAUAAAUUAACAAUAUUAAAUAAAAAGGCCACGCCACAGGGAUUUAAACUUAAGACCUUUAUUUUUAACACGUGGUGGGGUGGGGGUAAAUCAUUUUGUUUUUCUUUUUCGGAAUUCAAAUAUGGGAAAUAAGCUCAUGAUUAGCUUAUUUUAACCAUUUAAAAAUAAAAAAUAAAAUCAUAUAUUUAUUCUGAAUUUAAUAUCUCGUAAACUAUUAUGGAAAUAAUUAAUUUUACAUAUUGUAUAAUUUUUUUUAUUAAGAUUUUGUUUGUGGACUGGAACUCGUUCCGUGUUUGGUUUGGGCUCAUCAAUUUAAAGGAUUUUGGAUUACAUCAAUUUGUCACCCAACUUAUCUUUCCACGUCUUCACAUCCAACUCACUUUUUUUUUUUUACCUUUUUAAUAUUAAUCUUUUUUCUUCUCGAAAUAAUUUCUCAUUUCGAAUUUUUAUGGACAAUUAGUACGCCAUUCGUGCGAUUCACAAAGGUAAUUGACUAGAAGUCAUGUUAUAGUUAGUAAAUUUGUCAUUUAUUUUUUGAAUUAAAACUCACGCUAUUUAUUGUAGUAAAUAUGUCUCAAAUUUGCCAUUUUUAUAGCAAGCUAGAUUUUCUGCUUAAGAUAUAUAUCGACUUUGAAUAGGUUUUCUGUUUCCACUUUAUCCUAUAACCACGAGUAAAUAAUCUAUAAAUAACUAUUUUGCUAUAUGAGUAGUGGCAAAACGGGAAAUUCCUUGCUGUAAAUAAACAGAAAGAAACGAACACGUAUAUAAACCCAUUAACAGAAAAAUAUUUGUGGCGAUCAGCUGCAUACAUAUGACAAGUAUACAUCUCUCUCUCUCCUCAUUUCUCUCUCUAAACGCGCCACCUCGCCGCCGCCACCACCACCAGCGCAGACUCACUCUCACUCUAAAACUCGAAGCGUCUAGCUCCUCCACCCAAACAAUGGGCCAAGAAUCUGCCGCCACCACCGCCGUGGAGCCCGCUGUGGUGCACCGCGGAUUCAAGCCGGCGGCGCGCAAGAAUUUGGUCGUCCGGCCAACCCCAGUCCGACCACUUCCCCGUCCACCGUUUCCACCACGUGGAGUUCUGGUGCGGCGACGCCACCAACGCCGCCCGCCGCUUCUCGUGGGGCCUCGGCAUGCCCCUCGCCGCGAAAUCCGACCUCUCCACCGGCAACUCCGCCCACGCCUCCUACCUCCUCCGCUCCGGCGAGCUCUCCUUCCUCUUCACCGCCCCUUACUCCCCCUCCAUCGCCGACCCCUCCUCCGCCUCCAUCCCCACCUUCUCCCCCUCCGCCCACCUCGCCUUCACCUCCUCCCACGGCCUCGCCGUCCGCGCCGUCGCAAUUCAGGUCGACUCCGCCUCCUCCGCCUACGCCGCCUCCGUUGCCUCGCGGCGCCAUUCCCGUGUCCCCGCCGGCCCUCCUCUCCGACGGCAAGACCUCCAUCGCCGAGGUGCACUUGUACGGCGACUCCGUUCUCCGCUACAUCAGCACCGCCGGCGGCGCCAACGAGUGGCUCCUCCCCGGCUUCGAGCCGGUGUUAAACGACCAAGAACUGGAUUAUGGGAUUAGAAGACUCGAUCACGCUGUCGGCAAUGUGCCGAAGCUCGAACCGGCCGCCGAAUACUUAAAGAAAUUCACCGGUUUCCACGAGUUCGCCGAGUUCACGGCUGCCGAUGUCGGGACGGCCGAGAGCGGGCUGAAUUCGGUGGUGCUGGCGAACAACAAUGAAAAUGUGCUUUUCCCUUUGAAUGAGCCGGUUUUUGGGAUGAAGAGGAAGAGCCAAAUCCAGACUUAUUUGGAGCACAAUGAGGGGGCUGGGGUGCAGCAUUUGGCGUUGGUGAGUGAGGACAUUUUCAAGACUUUGAGGGAGAUGAGGAAGAGGAGCUCCGUGGGCGGGUUCGACUUCAUGCCGUUGCCACCGCCUACUUACUACCGGAAUCUCAAGAGCAGGGCGGGGGAUGUGCUCAGUGAUGAGCAGAUUGAGGAGUGUGAGAGGCUGGGGAUCUUGGUGGAUAGGGAUGAUCAAGGGACUUUGCUGCAGAUUUUCACCAAACCAGUUGGUGAUAGGUAAUCAAUCACCUUGAUCAUUGCAGUUGUUGUGCUUUUGGUUUGAGCUUUGAUUUGGUAGUUGCAGUUUUGAUCUGUUUUUGAGUUGGGAUUUCAAAUUUAGUUGUUGUUCUUGAUCACUAGUAGUUUAGAAUGUGAUCAUGAGAUACUGAUUGAGCUGAAUUCUGGAGUUUGAUUGUUAGUUUAGGAGAUGUAGUUUUAUUUAGGGGUAAUUGCACCAUUUUUUAACCCAUAUAUGAUGCGACUUUUAAAUCUUGACACCAAAAACAUGACCUUUACAAUUUGUGUUUGCAACAUUGAUCGAAAUUUGACACACUUGUGGUUUUGGUCUGUCUCACAGAGUUAGGGAUUCAAGUUUUAGUUGCUUUUGCAUUCUGCUGUUCUUGAUCGGUAGUAGUUUAGAAUGUGAUCAUGGGAUAUUAAUUGAGCUGAAUUCUGGAGUUUGAUUGUUAAGUUAGGAGAUAUAGUUUUAUUUAGAGGUAAUUGCAUAUAAUAACACUGCUUUAACUCAUUCAGUGGUGUACGACACGACUAUUAAAUAGACCGUGUUGUAAACCACACAACUUGUCAAGGUUGUGUUUUAAGAAUGUUAAGUGAAUGUGUCUGAGUGAAAAGGGGUCCCNUUACAACAUGAUUGUAGUUGUGGUUUUGGUUUGAGCUUUGAUUUGGGAUGAUUUAGAUUGGGUAGUUGCAGUUUUGAUCUGUUUUUGAGUUGGUAUUUCAAAGUUAGUUGCUUUUGCUUUCUGCUGUUUUUGAUCACUAGUAUUUUAGAAUGUGAUUGUGAGAUACUGAUUGAGCUUAAUUUUGGAGUUUGAUUGUUAGUUUAGGAGAUUUUAUUUUAUUUAGGGGUAAUUGUACUACCUUAUAACUCAUAUACGAUGCGACUUUUAAAUAUUGACACCAAAAACAUGACCUUUACAAUUUGUGUUGUAUGCAACAUCGAUCAAAUUUUUGUUGCGUUUGAAUUCUACUGUUCUUGAUGAGUAGUAGUUUAGAAUGUUAUCAUGGGAUAUUAAUUAAGCUGAAUUCUGGACUUUGAUUGUUAAUUUAGGAGAUAUAGUUUUAUUAAGAGGUAACGGCAUAUAAUAACAAUGCUUUAACUGAUUCGGUGGUGUAUGACAUGACUAUUAAAUAGACCGUGUUGUAAACCACACAACUUGUCAAGGUUGUGUUUUAAGAAUGUUAAGUGAAUGUGUCUGAGUGAAAAGGGGUCCCACUUUGUUGUGAGUUAAGUGAUGUCCAAAAAUGGAAAGUGAAUAUAUUUGGGAGACGUCCCAAAACAGCAAAUUGCGCAUGUUUUUCGGAGACGAAGGGAGUAGUAAAUUUUGAGACUAGGAAAUACAAGGAUAACUUGAUUUUUAGAUCAUUCCCUAUUUCUAUACUAAAAGUUUGUUGACGCGUGCUAUUUUUUCUCCUCUGUGAUUAAUAUAUCAUUUUACUUGCGAUCGCUUCUCUCGUCUCCUCCACCCACUACGAACUACAUAUGAUGAGAUUAGUUCUUCAUCUGAGUUUCCUGUUUACAUUAUCCAAAUCUGAGCUUUUUCUGCAAAUUACCUUGUUAGUUCACAUAAUGGAUUCAUACCAUAUUAGUGCUUCCAAAUUCUUUAAAUCGUAGCACGUUCUGAUCAUAUAUCUUCUUUUGUAACUAACUGCAGUGUCUCGUUUUUGCAGGCCGACCAUCUUCAUAGAGAUAAUUCAGAGAAUAGGGUGCAUGAUGAAAGACGAAGAAGGGAAGAUCUACCAAAAGGGCGCAUGUGGAGGAUUUGGGAAGGGGAACUUCUCGGAGCUCUUCAGGUCUAUCGAAGAAUAUGAGAAAAUGCUCGAAGCAAAAAUGGGCACGAGAGCAGCAGCGACGUGACUGCCCCAACAGCUACAAUAGCAGGUAGAUACGAACACUCUUGAUAUGUACAAAUGAAUUUAGCAGUGAGCUGACUGUGGGUUUAUCAUGACUUUCCAUACUCAGCUAUCAACUCUUUGAUAUGUACAAAAAUGAUUUGUUCAUGUUAUAUAAUGUGACAGCAGUUACUGUAUGAUACUAUAAAUUUAUCAUGCUAAAUGAAAAUACCUCCUCGGGUUUCGAAGCAUGCCUUCGUGUUUGCUCGUAUUAGUGUUUUAUUUAGGGAUUUCUUCGAUUUUAUUUGUUUUUGUUGCUUCGUCUGUUCGUGUUCGUGUUCAUGCUCGUGUAUUCGGCCGAUCAUGUUCUUGGAUUUUGUUUGCUUGCCGUAGGUGGAAAUCGAAUUCAUAACCUUUGCGUUUGUUCGAAUUCGUGUUUUAUUUGGAGGGUGGGUUUCUUUUGAGUUUAUUUGUUAUCGUUGCUUCGUCUAUUCGUGUUCGUAUUCGUGUUUGUGUUCUUGGAUCUUAGUUUCUCUUACAAACGUUGUGGCCACUGUCGUAGGUGCUUACAAUCUAGAGAUAUUGGUGGAAAUCAAACUCACCAUUAGGCCAUUUAUUUGACAUGUUUAUUUGUUGCUUUCUCCGUCUAUGAAAAAGUUAUCAUAUCGUGAAUGAUACGAAUUUUAAUAAAAUGUAAUCGAAGUUAUUAGUGAAGUAAACAACUUAUUUUAAAUGCGAGUGGAGUUGUGCAGAUCUUACUACUAUAAAUAAUGGUGGUAGUUUUUUUCGGGAAAAAUUAAAAUCAAAAUUACGGUGAAUUUUUCGUGGAUAAAGAGAGCACCUACCUUUUAAUUUUUAUCAAAUUCAUAAAGCGAUCAAAACUACAAUUUAAUUGCAAAUUUAAAGUUUAUAUCUUUUUUAACAAUUUAGAGAAAGUAAAUAAUGCAACAAAAUAGAAAGGGACUGCCGUAUAUCGAAAUUAAAAUGUACACGCAAAAUUAUUUAUAUGGAACAAAUUUUACGAUGUAAAUAUAUAUUAAUAAGUUUUAAUAAUAUUGUAUACCAUCAUUAUUUACAUAAAAUCAAAUAUAAAAUACUCUAAACACUACGACAACAUUAUAAAUUUUGAUUAAAAUUUCGAUGAUUAUACGAAAAAUUUCAUACAAUUCGUAUAACAAUAUAAGAAUUAUAUGAAAUUUUUUGUAUAAUUAUCAAUUUUGUGUAAGAACAUUAAAUCACUCAACUAAAAAGAUUAAAUUGUAAUUAAUGACGAAAAGUGGGGGACCGAUGCGAAAAUUAUGAUCCCUCUUGGAAGUGGAGGAACCGUAGGCAGCCCCACCGCAGACGGAAGUGGUACAACAUCUAAAGCGAAACGUCCAAAAACCGCAUCUCCGAGCGAGACGUAUCAUUCCCCAAACAUUCCGACAGCUAGAGAGAGAAGCACCCGCCGGCCAUGGUUUUAGAGAGAGAGAUGGAGGAGGAGGACGACGAGGAGGAGGCAAUGCUGAAGAAGGCAGAGGAGGAGAGCGAGAGUAACAGCAGUAGUAACGACGCUUCGUCGUGGAGCCGGAAGAUGAUGGUGGAGGAGGCGGCGCGGAGGCUCAAGGGCGGAGAUCUCAGAGCGAAAAUCGAGGCGGCGAGGGAUGUGAGGAAGCUUGUCAGGAAGUCGUCCAGCUCCAAUUCCAAGUCCGCUGUGCGCUGCCGCUUCGCCGCCGCCGGAGCUAUCGAGCCGCUCGUUUCGAUGCUCCACGGCUCGCUUCCCCUCGCAGCUCGGGAGGCCGCGCUCCUCGCGCUCCUCAACCUCGCAGCUCGGAAUCAGAGGUCACUUCUCUCUCUCUCCC